rnacentral:ncRNA from 20 species
CCGACAAUUGAAAAUGAACCUCAUAUAAAUUUGAGAAUAUGGCUCAGAAGUUUCUACCCAGCACCGUAAAUGGCUGGACUAUGAGGGAAGAUGGAUCAUUU